UGCUAUAAGAUGAGCCUACGUCGGAUUAGCUUGUUGGUGGGGUAAUGGCCUACCAAGGCGACGAUCCGUAGCUGGUCUGAGAGGACGAUCAGCCACACUGGGACUGAGACACGGCCCAGACUCCUACGGGAGGCAGCAGUGGGGAAUAUUGGACAAUGGGGGAAACCCUGAUCCAGCAAUGCCGCGUGUGUGAAGAAGGCCUUCGGGUUGUAAAGCACUUUCGGUGGGGAAGAAAUUCUCAAGGGUAAUAUCCUUGGGCGUUGACGUUACCCACAGAAGAAGCACUGGCUAACUCUGUGCCAGCAGCCGCGGUAAUACAGAGAGUGCAAGCGUUAAUCGGAAUCACUGGGCGUAAAGCGCGCGUAGGUGGAUAUUUAAGUCGGAUGUGAAAGCCCUGGGCUUAACCUGGGAAUUGCACCCGAUACUGGGUAUCUUGAGUAUGGUAGAGGGAAGUGGAAUUUCCGGUGUAGCGGUGAAAUGCGUAGAUAUCGGAAAGAACACCAGUGGCGAAGGCGACUUCCUGGACCAAUACUGACACUGAGGCGCGAAAGCGUGGGGAGCAAACAGGAUUAGAGACCCUGGUAGUCCACGCCGUCAACGAUGAGAACUAG
rnacentral:rRNA from 1 species